rnacentral:rRNA from 1 species
UGGGGAAUAUUGGACAAUGGGCGCAAGCCUGAUCCAGCCAUGCCGCGUGUGUGAAGAAGGCCUUUUGGUUGUAAAGCACUUUAAGCGAGGAGGAGGCUACUUGGAUUAAUACUCUAGGAUAGUGGACGUUACUCGCAGAAUAAGCACCGGCUAACUCUGUGCCAGCAGCCGCGGUAAUACAGAGGGUGCGAGCGUUAAUCGGAUUUACUGGGCGUAAAGCGUGCGUAGGCGGCUUCUUAAGUCGGAUGUGAAAUCCCUGAGCUUAACUUAGGAAUUGCAUUCGGUACUGGGAAGCUAGAGUAUGGGAGAGGAUGGUAGAAUUCCAGGUGUAGCGGUGAAAUGCGUAGAGAUCUGGAGGAAUACCGAUGGCGAAGGCGGCCAUCUGGCCUAAUACUGACGCUGAGGUACGAAAGCAUGGGGAGCAAACAGG